AAUUACAAAUCUUCGAAAAGCUUCGAAGCUUCUUAUCGCAGCUCCUACAGUUGACGAUACAUCUUUAAAAGUCUAAAUUCAUAAAUCCCCAAAUCGUCCGGAACAUUAUCCAUCAAACCGUAUUGGACAAAGACCGUGAAUCAUUGGAUUCGAAUUGAAGGAUUCGUUGGGCCAUUGUCAAUUAUAAGAAAUCGGUCUGGAAAUGGCGCGAUUCGGAAUUCAGCUUGCGUGUUGGGAAGCUGCGAAUGCGUCCCACGUAGAACGAAGCUGCGCAUUCUCGAUAUUCAGAAGUCACACCGGCCAGUGCGAGAGCCCCGUACUGUUUCCGUAAAAUGUUUGUAAAGUAAGGAACCAGAGGUCGCUCGCGUAUAUUAAGCUAUACUUUGGUUGCUCGUCUCGCGAGGAGAACACCGGCGAACCAUGAGACGAGCGAACGGAAUGUUCGAUCGCCGAGGAUUCUUAAUGAAACUUCGACCAGCUCGAACAGAAAAAGCGUAAAAAAAAGCCGCGAUAUUACGUCGAGCGAACUUUCAGCCGCGGCCGCGUCGAUCCUCACCUUCUUACAUCAUCGCUUUCGUUUUCUAUUCGCACCGGGCGGAAUCGUAAAUGCGAUUUAAACGAUGCUUCAAGGAGUUUACGUUUGAUCAGCGGGGACGUUAUCAUCGAUGCAUCGGAAAGAUGUUUGCCACCGGAUGGCCCAGAUUCACAGGCUUUAUUCAAGAGGGAAAUUAAACAAGUCUUACUCCAGUGAAUCGAAUCCCGUUACUGCGUAUAAUUCUGUAACGGUUUGAGACUUGAACGGGUAAUUGCAAGUGAAUAACGCCAGAGGCAGCUUGUGCGCGUGUAUUCGAAAACAGCCUGAAAAUAUCGAGAAAUGAGCGCGACUUAGGAAAAAGAAGUAAUUAAUACCGCUUUCACGUCAGAACGAUCCCAAUGGCUGAUUGAAAUGAAAAUUGGGUGUGGUUCUAGAUAUCAAGACUUAACAGAGAUAGUUCAUGUACCAAAAUUACAUACAUUGAGGUUUGCUUCUCAAGUUUGAAGAAUUCGGUUUGAUGUUUUGGCUUUCUUUACAAUAAAAUAGAAUUAUAUCGUAAAGCAGAUUUAACGUGAUCUAUAGUUGAUAUAACAUUGAUAUAAUAUUUUACAAAUUUGCUACGUGUAAUAAUUUUGAUAAAAAGGUAUGUAUCGAUAGAACAAGUUUCAAUUCUUAUUUCAUAUAUGAAUUUGAAAAAAGAAGAUAGUAUAUUACAUAAACAUCCUUCGAGUUAUACGCUGAUACAGCGUAAUAGUAUAAAAAAGUGUACUUUGAUACUAAAGUUUUCAAUGUACGAUCAUUUGUUUCUGAAAUUUUGAGAUGUAAGUGAAUCCUUAACUGUUUGUCAAGCGUAAUGCAGGUGUGGUCAGUAUUUACUUUGCCGACCCUGUUUUCGAUAUGUUUUCAAUGACUAUUCUCGACGAUACAUGGAUACGUCGUCGAUAGAUAAUUUAUUCUUUCGUAUUGCAACUUACUCAACCUAAAUAAAUCCGUUUAAAUAACCUAACCUAAUUUCAAUUUGUAAUCGUGGGAGAUAAAUGAAGAGAAUAGCAAGGUUAGAAUUAGUCGAUGAUUAUGAUAUCGUAGUUUCCAUAUUGAACACGAGUGAGUCGGUAUCCAAUCGAUUUAAAGAUGAAUUUGCGACCGGCUGCUGACGUCAUAAGGACGCUUCCGGAGUUGUGUCUUGAAUCGUUCACGAAUAUUAAAUCUAUGUAUACAUAUUUUGAAAUUAUAGAAAGUUCUCUGAUAGUUACAUUAAUACGUUGAUUUAUGAGCUUAAUCAAUUAUUAAGGCAUAAAAUUGAAUUAAUUAUUAUUGUAGUAUCGUUUAGGGAUUU